rnacentral:rRNA from 1 species
UAGGCCUAACACAUGCAAGUCGAACGAGGACCGGGUGCUUGCAUCCGGAGCCGAGUGGCGAACGGGUGAGUAACACGUGACCAAUCUGCCCUUGGGAGAGGGAUAACCUGGGGAAACCCGGGCUAAUACCGCAUGACGUGCGGCCAUCGCAUGGUGGCGGCACCAAAGGGGGGCCUCUACUUGUAAGCUCUCGCCCAGGGAGGAGGUCGCGGCGUAUCAGCUGGUUGGUGGGGUAACGGCCCACCAAGGCGACGACGCGUAGCGGGUCUGAGAGGACGAUCCGUCACAUUGGGACUGAGAUACGGCCCAGACUCCUACGGGAGGCAGCAGUGGGGAAUAUUGCGCAAUGGUCGAAAGACUGACGCAGCGACGCCGCGUGUGGGAGGAAGCCUUUCGGGGUGUAAACCACUGUCAGGUGGGAAGAAACACGCAUGUCCAAACAGGGCGUGCGCUUGACGGUACCACCAGAGGAAGCGCCGGCUAACUCCGUGCCAGCAGCCGCGGUAAGACGGAGGGCGCAAGCGUUGUUCGGAAUUACUGGGCGUAAAGCGCGGGCAGGUGGUCCGUUAAGUCUUCUGUGAAACUUCGGGGCUCAACCCCGGACAUGCAGGAGAUACUGGCGGACUAGAGACCGGUAGAGGCCAGUGGAAUUCCUGGUGUAGCGGUGGAAUGUGUAGAUAUCAGGAAGAACACCGGUGGCGAAGGCGGCUGGCUGGGCCGCGUCUGACA